rnacentral:rRNA from 1 species
UACGUAGGGCGCAAGCGUUGUCCGGAAUUAUUGGGCGUAAAGAGCUCGUAGGCGGCCUGUUACGUCUGCUGUGAAAUCCCGGGGCUUAACCCCGGGCGUGCAGUGGAUACGGGCAGGCUGGAGGCAGGCAGGGGAGAACGGAAUUCCCGGUGUAGCGGUGAGAUGCGCAGAUAUCGGGAGGAACACCGGUGGCGAAGGCGGUUCUCUGGGCCUGUACUGACGCUGAGGAGCGAAAGCGUGGGGAGCGAACAGG